UACGAGCCGGACAAACGUUACUCGGAAUCACUGGGCUUAAAGGGUGCGUAGGCUGCGCGGAGGGUGGGAUGUGAAAUCCCCCGGCUCAACCGGGGAAUAGCGUCCCAAACCGCCGUGCUAGAGGAAGACAGGGGUGAGCGGAACUGAUGGUGGAGCGGUGAAAUGCGUUGAUAUCAUCAGGAACACCAGUGGCGAAGGCGGCUCACUGGGUCUUUCCUAACGCUGAGGCACGAAAGCUAGGGGAGCGAACGGG
rnacentral:rRNA from 1 species